rnacentral:tRNA from 1 species
GUUCGAGCCCCGGGCAAC